rnacentral:rRNA from 1 species
ACUCAAAGGAAUUGACGGGGGCCCGCACAAGCGGUGGAGCAUGUGGUUUAAUUCGACGCAACGCGAAGAACCUUACCUGGGUUUGAACUUCAGAGGACAGACGGUGAAAGCCGUUCUCCCUUCGGGGCCGCUGGAGAGGUGCUGCAUGGCUGUCGUCAGCUCGUGUCGUGAGAUGUUGGGUUAAGUCCCGUAACGAGCGCAACCCCUAUCCUUAGUUGCCAGCGGGUCAAGCCGGGAACUCUAAGGAAACCGCCGGUGAUAAACCGGAGGAAGGUGGGGAUGACGUCAAGUCCUCAUGGCCUUUAUGCCCAGGGCUACACACGUGCUACAAUGGACGGUACAAAGGGUUGCCAAAUCGCAAGGUGGAGCUAAUCCCAAAAAGCCGUUCUCAGUUCGGAUUGGGGGCUGCAACUCGCCCCCAUGAAGGUGGAAUCGCUAGUAAUCGCGGAUCAGCACGCCGCGGUGAAUACGUUCCCGGGCCUUGUACACACCGCCCGU